AUGCAGCUCCCUGACCUGCUGCUGAGAGUUUUCAUAGCCUCUGCCUGCCUCGGAUCCAUCAAGGCCCAGAACGUGACUCAAGAUCAGCCAGAAAUGUCUGUGCUGGAGAAGGAGGCUGUAACUUUGGACUGUGCAUACAAGGGUAGUAGUUAUAGUUAUUAUUUAUUCUGGUACAAACAACCACCAAGUGGGGAAAUGAUUUUCCUACUUCAUCAGGAGUCUUACAAUGAGCUAAAUAAAACAGAAGGUCGAUAUUUUUUGAACUUCCGGAAGAAAGUCAGUUCCAUCAGCUUCACCAUCUCAGCCUCACAACUCGAGGACUCAGCAGUGUAUUUCUGCGCUCUGAGAGACCACAGUGAUGCGGGUGCCUGUGGGAGCUCAAUAGAAACCUCAGAUCUCAACCUGACUCCCCAGCUAUGA